rnacentral:rRNA from 2 species
ACCGCAUGGUGCAGGGUUGAAAGAUGGUUUCGGCUAUCACUUUAGGAUGGACCCGCGGUGCAUUAGUUAGUUGGUGAGGUAAAGGCUCACCAAGACCGUGAUGCAUAGCCGACCUGAGAGGGUAAUCGGCCACACUGGGACUGAGACACGGCCCAGACUCCUACGGGAGGCAGCAGUAGGGAAUCUUCCACAAUGGACGAAAGUCUGAUGGAGCAACGCCGCGUGAGUGAAGAAGGUUUUCGGAUCGUAAAACUCUGUUGUUGGAGAAGAAUGUAUCUGAUAGUAACUGAUCAGGUAGUGACGGUAUCCAACCAGAAAGCCACGGCUAACUACGUGCCAGCAGCCGCGGUAAUACGUAGGUGGCAAGCGUUGUCCGGAUUUAUUGGGCGUAAAGCGAGCGCAGGCGGUUUCUUAAGUCUGAUGUGAAAGCCUUCGGCUCAACCGAAGAAGUGCAUCGGAAACUGGGAAACUUGAGUGCAGAAGAGGACAGUGGAACUCCAUGUGUAGCGGUGAAAUGCGUAGAUAUAUGGAAGAACACCAGUGGCGAAGGCGGCUGUCUGGUCUGUAACUGACGCUGAGGCUCGAAAGCAUGGGUAGCAAACAGGAUUAGAUACCCUGGUAGUCCAUGCCGUAAACGAUGAGUGCUAGGUGUUGGAGGGUUUCCGCCCUUCAGUGCCGCAGCUAACGCAUUAAGCACUCCGCCUGGGGAGUACGACCGCAAGGUUGAAACUCAAAGGAAUUGACGGGGGCCCGCACAAGCGGUGGAGCAUGUGGUUUAAUUCGAAGCAACGCGAAGAACCUUACCAGGUCUUGACAUCCUUUGACCACUCUAGAGAUAGAGCUUUCCCUUCGGGGACAAAGUGACAGGUGGUGCAUGGUUGUCGUCAGCUCGUGUCGUGAGAUGUUGGGUUAAGUCCCGCAACGAGCGCAACCCUUAUUACUAGUUGCCAGCAUUUAGUUGGGCACUCUAGUGAGACUGCCGGUGACAAACCGGAGGAAGGUGGGGACGACGUCAAAUCAUCAUGCCCCUUAUGACCUGGGCUACACACGUGCUACAAUGGAUGGUACAACGAGUUGCGAGACCGCGAGGUUUAGCUAAUCUCUUAAAACCAUUCUCAGUUCGGAUUGUAGGCUGCAACUCGCCUACAUGAAGCCGGAAUCGCUAGUAAUCGCGGAUCAGCAUGCCGCGGUGAAUACGUUCCCGGGCCUUGUACACACCGCCCGUCACACCAUGAGAGUUUGUAACACCCAAAGCCGGUGAGGUAACCCUUCGGGGAGCCAGCCGUCUAAGGUGGGACAGAUGAUUAGGGUGAAGUCGUAACAAGGUAGCCGUAGGAGAACCUGCGGCUGGAUCACCU